GGUUCGGUAGCUCAAUGGUAGAGCAGUAGCCUUUUAAGCUAUUGGCUGCGGGUUCGAGUCCCGCCCGAAUCACCA
rnacentral:tRNA from 1 species